CUAUAGAGUUUAUUAUAUGCCAUUCAGAGGUCUCAAUUGCACUUGCAGAAGAGAAGAAGAUACCUGAGCUAUUCAAGACAUUUCCAAAUGCAACAAAGUAUCUCAAGAGAUCAAACUCAGAGCUUUGAACUUCCUAUUAAGAAAAGGAUGUAUACAUAUCAUACCUUCCACUCGCACAUACUUUUUUUAGGACCAUUGAGGAGAUAUUCAUAUGGCAUGGUGCUUCAAUUGGUUUCUGGCGUGGGGAUGUCAAAUUGUUAAUUGAUGAUGUUGGGGAACUAAAACCAACUAUUUUCUGUGUUGUUCCCCGUGUGCUUGAUAGAGUGUACUCAGGUUUGACACAGAAGAUUUCUUCUGGGGGCUUCUUGAGGAAGACAUUAAAGAAAGACAACAGAAUCUCCUUUUAUGUUUAUUAUUAUUUUCAAAACUCAAAAAGAAAGACAGAUUUGAACUAUAAUUAUGUUUAUGUAUGAACAUGCGCACACAGUAGAAUCUCCU